rnacentral:lncRNA from 1 species
AUGAGUUAUGCUUUGAUCAUUUACGGUUUUGUUGCAAGUGCUUCAGCUCAAUCUAGUCAAUUAUGCCUAGACUCCAGAAAGACUCUCUCAAUCCAUAUCAUGUCUAGGUCUUCUUUCUAUUUUUGCUUCAAAUCCUAUUUAUUCUCGUUUUCACUGACAUGCAUUGACCCAAGUCACCUCAGCCUAAUAUUCCAUUUUGCUAGAUCUGUAGUUAUCUUUAUUAACUAGCUUCUAUACUAACGGAGUCUAUGACUGUGUAAGGGAAUUCUGAUGGAAAUAUUUUAUAUGAAUGUACAUGUUUAUAUAAAUAUAGUUUUAAAAAAAGUCGCACAGUUGUUGCUCAUUAUUAUAAUUCAUGCUUAGCUUUGCAACAAAAUAGCAUCUUUCCACAAUAGUAAUACUAGAACUGAAGUGCUUAAAGGAUUUACACUGAAAUUUUCUAUGGGCAGGUAAUGGUUACGCUGUGAUAAUCCCCAGUGUUUAUACAAGCUUUAGCAAUUUUUCUUUUUUUUUGUUUGACCUGUUGCUUGGUAUAAUAAGUUGCACUAGACUGGGCCCAUUGAAUCAGUGGUGAUUUGGUGACUUAGUUCUCCAUAGAUUCCAUUAAUUCAAAUUAGUUGCUUUAAGCAACAGGAUUUCAGCUUUUAUACAGUGGACCCUUGACUUACAGACGGCUUGACUUACAGACUUUUUGAGUUACAGACUUCUCUGGCUGCAAAAUUUAGGUUUGACUUGCAGACUGAGAUUUGACUUACAGACCAGAAAAAAACCAAAAUGGAACAAAAACGGCCUGUUACGGGAUUAAUCGGUUUUCAAUGCACUGUAGGUCAAUGGAGACUUGACUUACAGACUUUUUGACUUGAGAACCGCCUUCCAAUACGGAUUAAGUUCUCAAGUCAAGACCCCACUGUAUCAGUAAUUUUUAACACAGUUCUGUGAGAUAGGCAAUAUUGAUCACCACAUACUGAAGCUGAUAUUUGAAGCUGAAUAUCCAUAUACUGUCAUGUGAUAAGGUACAAACCACAACCUUUCCAAAUCACUAUCCUAGCUUGUACACGGCAGCAGCUUUUAAUACCACAUGUUAAGGCUUGAGUUGUGCACAAAAGGCAUAUUGAAAUUCUCCACCCUAUCUGUUGACAAAAUGUUAAGAACCACCACGGUGGAUCAGACCAAUGUCCUUUCUAAUCCAACAACCUGUUCACACAUUGGCCAUUGAGUUGCCUGUGGG